UGCCUCAAAGAGUUACCAAAACAGUAACUGUGGAAGCGCAGACGGUGUGUAAGAGGCUCCAAACAAGGCCCCAGGCGGCCCGACUGAUGAGCUCUAGGUAAAUAAAUGUUCACUGCCCCAGCUGGUUCUCUCUGACCAGGAGACCCGCUUUUGAAGAACCUUCUGGAAUGCUGUAUUUAAGGGGAAGUCCUUUCAGUUGGUAUGAAGUCUCUACAGCCCUCAGCCUGUGUGGAAAACACCUUUGUUAAAUCCAGGUCUCAGUUGCUCUCCCCCUGGAGCAACACCGCCUCUCCUGACAACAGGCGACACACUUUGAGGUCUGUGACCCUAAGCAUUGCAGGCUUUGGGGCCACGAGUGUACACUGGUUUUUCUUUGUGUGUCCAGCAGUCGCACGUACCAGUCCCUGGACGAGAUGUACCCGGCCUACAGAUGUCAGGCCUGAAAGAAAGUGUCCAAUCCGUGGUUUUCCGCAUCAAGCCUCCUAAUCACAGACCCUCACGAAGAGCGACGUGUGGAGCUGGAAUGUCUUCCGCGCAGGAGACGACGCUGGCCUUGCAGAAAAGCGAGGCUGAAAAGCUUGGGGCACCUUUGAGAUCGUCCACAGCCCCCAGCUUGGGAGCCCUUUCCAAGACUGAGCAUCCGCGAGCGCCCUGCGCGAGGCUGCGCCAGCGAGCUCGUCGUGGCCGGACAGCUUCCGUCUCCUCACACGUUCGCUUCAACUGCCGGGAAGUUCCUUGCUCCGCUGUCGCGUCAGGACCGGGUCUCGGGGGCGACGCGUGACUGCGCAGCACGGUGACACGGUCACCCAGGGCUGAAGGGCUCGUUGAGAAAGAGAUCGAUUUUGGCCAACGCGCGGCAGUUGAUACGGAUGCAUGGUUUACGCCGAACGAGAAUAUGAUCUUAGUUGUUUGUAAGGAAUUCUGGCAUCAUGAUAGCAUUUCUGAAGAAAGUCGCAAGACUGAACAUCAAAGAUGAGCCCAUAGUACCCUGUAUGGUUUGGAGACUACCUGUGUCUUCAACCCCAUCUAUUAGGUACAAGGCACUUAAUCUGGGUAGUGGAAUUCAAUAGUAAGCAAGAACAAACAAAGUCUAACCUCAAGAAGAGCUAUGUAUGAAGUAAAUAAUCACAUAAAUAAAAGUUAUAACAGUGACUGUGAUUGCAUCCAAGAAAAUCCACUCUGUAUGGAUCUCAAUAAAUACCAUCAGAUCUCCUCCCAAAUGAAACCAUGCCUCUCAUCCUAUACCAGAGAGCAAAGACCUGGGGGUGAGGGAAGGAUAUCAGAAAGCUCACCUUAAGACAGAAGCAAAAAAUGAGAAGUAAACCAGACAGAGAGACAAGUACUACAUGAUUUCACUUAUACAAGCCUACCUCUUUGCUGUAAUUAUCAUGUAUCUGUUGGCUUACUUCAUUGGUGAGAUGAUGGCCAAGCCUUCCAGCACUCCACCUUCACCAAGAUCUUUCAGCUUCUCCAACUUCAGGCCAACUUGAGCUUUAUCUCCUUCAAUGGUCAAGAGAAUGCGGGCUAAGCCUUGGAGCCAAGGAGAGCAACAAUGGAGCAGAGACCAUAGAGGAAGUUGUAGGGUGUGUUUGGCAUCCCCCGUGAUGGUAGUGACUUCCCAGAUGUUCUACACCCACAGAUGCAUGAUAUCCUACGAUUGGAAUGAAGAAGAGGUGUAUCCAACAGGGCCCAUGGGAGCCAUUCUCAAAAGAGAAGUGGUAAGAAUGAACUCAGGGAAUCACCAGUGCUAUGAAGCAGAGGAGAUGCCAAGAUAGUGCUGUAUUCUACCCAG